GAGAAAUGGUACAAUAACAUUGUUAGAUGUGAUCUUAUGUUAUAGCAGUAAGAAUAGAAUGGAGAACCUGUUUGCAUGUUCUACCUAGAACCAUAAAGGUUAGAGGCCUGUUUCAGAAUGAUGACUCACCAGUUUGCGUGUCCUGUCCAGCACGAUGUCAAUGAUCUCCUUGCCGAUGGUGUAGUGACCGCGGGCGUAGUUGUUGGCAGCAUCUUCCUUACCAGUGAUCAGCUGCUCAGGGUGG